rnacentral:rRNA from 1 species
AACGAACGCUGGCGGCAUGCCUAACACAUGCAAGUCGAACGUGAUCCAGGCUUCGGCCUGGUGAAAGUGGCAGACGGGUGAGUAACGCGUGGGAACCUGCCCUGUGGUAGGGAAUAACCGUGGGAAACUGCGGCUAAUACCCUAUGAGUCCUUCGGGAGAAAGAUUUAUCGCCAUAGGAGGGGCCCGCGUCGGAUUAGGUAGUUGGUGGGGUAACGGCCUACCAAGCCUUCGAUCCGCAGCUGGUCUGAGAGGAUGAUCAGCCACACUGGGACUGAGAUACGGCCCAGACUCCUACGGGAGGCAGCAGUGGGGAAUAUUGGACAAUGGGGGCAACCCUGAUCCAGCAAUGCCGCGUGGAUGAUGAAGGCCUUCGGGUUGUAAAGUCCUUUCGGCGGGGAAGAUGAUGACGGUACCCGCAGAAGAAGCCC